AUCGCGAUGGCUCAGUUGGUGGAGCACCUGUCCGGUAAGCGGAAUGUCGUCGAUUCGAUUCCGGCUCGCGGUG
rnacentral:tRNA from 1 species